rnacentral:rRNA from 1 species
UGCGGGAAGAAGGCCUUCGGGUUGUAAACCGCUGUCGGGAGUUAAGAAAUGUAAGGAUGUUAAUAGCAUCUUUGCUUGACUAAGGCUCCGGAGGAAGCCACGGCUAACUCUGUGCCAGCAGCCGCGGUAAUACAGAGGCGGCAAGCGUUGUUCGGAAUUAUUGGGCGUAAAGAGCACGUAGGCGGCUAUGUAAGUCGGUUGUGAAAGCCUUCCGCUCAACGGGAGAACAGCAUCCGAUACUGCAUGGCUUGAGUGCGGGAGGGGAGAGUGGAACUUCUGGUGGAGCGGUGAAAUGCGUAGAUAUCAGAAGGAACGCCGGCGGCGAAAGCGGCUCUCUGGCCCAUAACUGACGCUGAGUGUGCGAAAGCUAGGGGAGCAAACGGGAUUAGAUACCCCGGUAGUCCUAGCCGUAAACGAUGGGCACUAAGUAGAGGGGUUUUAA